rnacentral:rRNA from 1 species
AUUGAACGCUGGCGGCAGGCUUAACACAUGCAAGUCGAGCGGGGGAAGGUAGCUUGCUACCGGACCUAGCGGCGGACGGGUGAGUAAUGCUUAGGAAUCUGCCUAUUAGUGGGGGACAACAUCUCGAAAGGGAUGCUAAUACCGCAUACGUCCUACGGGAGAAAGCAGGGGAUCUUCGGACCUUGCGCUAAUAGAUGAGCCUAAGUCGGAUUAGCUAGUUGGUGGGGUAAAGGCCUACCAAGGCGACGAUCUGUAGCGGGUCUGAGAGGAUGAUCCGCCACACUGGGACUGGGACACGGCCCAGACUCCUACGGGAGGUAGCAGUGGGGAAUAUUGGACAAUGGGGGGAACCCUGAUCCAGCCAUGCCGCGUGUGUGAAGAAGGCCUUAUGGUUGUAAAGCACUUUAAGCGAGGAGGAGGCUACUUUAGUUAAUACCUAGAGAUAGUGGACGUUACUCGCAGAAUAAGCACCGGCUAACUCUGUGCCAGCCGCCGCCGUAA